AUUGAACGCUGGCGGCAGGCCUAACACAUGCAAGUCGAGCGAGCGGCGGACGGGGGAGUAAUGUCUGGGAAACUGCCUGAUGGAGGGGGAUAACUACAGGAAACGGUAGCUAAUACCGCAUACCAUCAGAUGUGCCCAGAUGGGAUUAGCGUGUAGGUGGGGUAACGGCUCACCUAGGCGACGAUCCCUAGCUGGUCUGAGAGGACGACCAGCCACACUGGAACUGUGACACGGGCACGGCUCAUAGGGGAGGCAGCAGUGGGGGAUGUUGCACAAUGGGCGCAAGCCUGAUGCAGCCAUGCCGCGUGUUUGAAGAAGGCCUUCGGGGUGUAAAGCACUUUCAGCGGGGAGGCGUUACCCGAAGAAGAAGCACCGGCUAACUCCGUGCCAGCAGCCGCGGUAAUAC
rnacentral:rRNA from 1 species